rnacentral:rRNA from 1 species
CCUACGGGUGGCUGCAGUGAGGAAUAUUGGUCAAUGGCCGUAAGGCUGAACCAGCCAAGUCGCGUGAAGGAAGAAGGAUCUAUGGUUUGUAAACUUCUUUUAUAGGGGAAUAAAGGUAUCCACGUGUGGAUAUUUGCAUGUACCCUAUGAAUAAGCAUCGGCUAACUCCGUGCCAGCAGCCGCGGUAAUACGGAGGAUGCGAGCGUUAUCCGGAUUUAUUGGGUUUAAAGGGUGCGUAGGCGGAUCGUUAAGUCAGUGGUCAAAUUGAGGGGCUCAACCCCUUCCCGCCAUUGAAACUGGCGGUCUUGAGUGGAAGAGAAGUAUGCGGAAUGCGUGGUGUAGCGGUGAAAUGCAUAGAUAUCACGCAGAACCCCGAUUGCGAAGGCAGCAUGCCGGCUUCCGACUGACGCUGAAGCACGAAAGCGUGGGGAUCGAACAGGAUUAGAUACCCGAGUAGUC